rnacentral:rRNA from 1 species
CGAUGAACCACUUCGGUGGGGAUUAGUGGCGAACGGGUGAGUAACACGUGGGCAAUCUGCCCUGCACUCUGGGACAAGCCCUGGAAACGGGGUCUAAUACCGGAUACGAGUUCCACGGGCAUCCGUGGGACUGGAAAGCUCCGGCGGUGCAGGAUGAGCCCGCGGCCUAUCAGCUUGUUGGUGAGGUAAUGGCUCACCAAGGCGACGACGGGUAGCCGGCCUGAGAGGGCGACCGGCCACACUGGGACUGAGACACGGCCCAGACUCCUACGGGAGGCAGCAGUGGGGAAUAUUGCACAAUGGGCGAAAGCCUGAUGCAGCGACGCCGCGUGAGGGAUGACGGCCUUCGGGUUGUAAACCUCUUUCAGCAGGGAAGAAGCGAAAGUGACGGUACCUGCAGAAGAAGCGCCGGCUAACUACGUGCCAGCAGCCGCGGUAAUACGUAGGGCGCAAGCGUUGUCCGGAAUUAUUGGGCGUAAAGAGCUCGUAGGCGGCUUGUCGCGUCGGUUGUGAAAGCCCGGGGCUUAACCCCGGGUCUGCAGUCGAUACGGGCAGGCUAGAGUUCGGUAGGGGAGAUCGGAAUUCCUGGUGUAGCGGUGAAAUGCGCAGAUAUCAGGAGGAACACCGGUGGCGAAGGCGGAUCUCUGGGCCGAUACUGACGCUGAGGAGCGAAAGCGUGGGGGAGCGAACAGGAUUAGAUACCCUGGUAGUCCACGCCGUAAACGGUGGGCACUAGGUGUGGGCAACAUUCCACGUUGUCCGUGCCGCAGCUAACGCAUUAAGUGCCCCGCC